GCCGAAGUGGCGGAAGCUGGUAGACGCGCCAUCUUGAGGGGGUGGUGAACGUGAGUUCGUGGGAGUUCAAAUCUCCCCUUCGGCACAA
rnacentral:tRNA from 1 species